GGCCUUAUGGUCUAGUAGCAUGAUUCCUCCUUUGGGUUUAGGCACCUGAUUGGAGGAGGUCCUGGGUUCAAUUCCCAGUGAGGCCC